AUUGAACGCUGGCGGCAUGCUUUACACAUGCAAGUCGAACGGCAGCACGGGCUUCGGCCUGGUGGCGAGUGGCGAACGGGUGAGUAAUAUAUCGGAACGUACCCAGAAGUGGGGGAUAACGUAGCGAAAGUUACGCUAAUACCGCAUACGAUCUAUGGAUGAAAGCAGGGGACCGCAAGGCCUUGUGCUCCUGGAGCGGCCGAUAUCUGAUUAGCUAGUUGGUGAGGUAAAGGCUCACCAAGGCGACGAUCAGUAGCUGGUCUGAGAGGACGACCAGCCACACUGGAACUGAGACACGGUCCAGACUCCCACGGGAGGCAGCAGUGGGGAAUUUUGGACAAUGGGCGCAAGCCUGAUCCAGCAAUGCCGCGUGAGUGAAGAAGGCCUUCGGGUUGUAAAGCUCUUUUGUCAGGGAAGAAACGGUAGAGGCUAAUAUCCUGUGCUAAUGACGGUACCUGAAGAAUAAGCACCGGCUAACUACGUG
rnacentral:rRNA from 1 species